UCCUCGGUGACAUAACCUCGUCGCUCCGUUGGACCUUCUGAUGGCGGCUCAUCAGAAGUGCCGCUCCGCCCCCCAGCUGUGCGCCACAUAGAAGGCCCAGAACCCUGAGCAGGACUGACCGAACUGAUCCGGGCCAAAACUACAGCGGAAACAACGGCACAGCAGCCCGACAUCAGCUUCUGGCCUUCUGAGACAAACUGAACACAAUAAAUAAAAAACAGAUCUGAGGAAACACUCUC